rnacentral:lncRNA from 1 species
AUGGUUUUUGGUGGGGUCUACAGAUGUGUGUUCUUGGUGGUGUGGCUGUGGGUCUGUGCUGACAAAAUCUCUGUAAACACUUGUAGCUACAACCAAUACAUGGAUCGUUUGGUAGCGUCUGUUCCAGCAGAUUACGGGUUAAUGGUUCAGGACUACAAUGGAAGUGGGACUUCACGCCAGAAUCUCGUGUGUGCCCUUUGCUCAAGCUACAUCAUUGCAUCACAACACAAUAAUGCAUUAAUACCCUGUUCAGAGUGCAGACAACAGCAGUUGAACAACACUGAAAUGCUGCUGAAAUGUCUCGUCCGUAAGACGAUGACCGAUAAUCUGAAUACCACAUGUAAAAAAUGCUGUAUAACCAGCAAAAGAACGUGGGUUCGACUCUCUGAUGUAAGGCCAGACAUUCUGAAUCGUUUGAAUGAAUCGAAUUGGAUGGAGAAAAUACCAGAUACCACCACUCCUUCUACUUGCAAUAUUAACACUACUUAUGCUCCUUGUACUUGCACUAGUAACACUACUCAUGGUAAGUGUCAAAUAAAAAUAUGA